AUGGCGCGGCGGGCGGGGAGGCGGCCGGCGGCUCCCCCGCGCAAAAGCCGCGCAAAAGANNNNNNNNNNNNNNNNNNNNGCCCCGGUGCCGAGCGCUCCGCAUGGCGCGGCGGGCGGGGAGGCGGCCGGCGGCUCCCCCGCGCAAAAGCCGCGCAAAAGGCGCGCAGAGCCCGCCCCGCGGGGGCGCGCCCGAGCUGGCGGCGGGGCCGGGGCAGGAGGGGCUCGCCGGCACCUCCCGCCAACGGAGCCGCUUCUCCGCGGGGCGAGGGGCUCGCCGGGCAAGGGGGCAGCCCGCUGGGGUCGCGCUUGGCACCGGGGGGGCGGCGGCAGGGCCGCGCCGGGCUCGCUGUGCGGGUGGAGGACGGACGAACGGACGGACGGACGGGUGCUGCCCCGCUGUCACCCCCGGUGGGGUGCUGGAAGCAGGGUGCUGCCCACCGGUGGCAUCCCUUAAUAAACUUGCGGUGCUCUUCCCACCUGGCUCUGUGGGUGUCCCCGAGGAAGCGUGCAAGGCGCGCGCACACACACACACACACACACACACGGCCCCCCCCUCCAGAGGGAUGGCUCCAGGAAAGCCGAAAUCCUGCUCCAUCGCCUCGGCACCGCCGCGGGGUGCAGGGGUUACCACAUCGCAGCCCUCGCACAGCUCAGGGGAGCGCUCCCUGUGCCCGCUCUGCAAGGGAAUUCGCGGGACAGCCGGGUGGGAGCUACUCGGAGCGGGGUCCGUCUCCGAUUUUAAGCGGGGAAUUAAAUCCGGGUGGCGGGGUUAAGGAGCCGGCAGCGUCUUCAGCUCUGCCACGGGCUCGUUCGUGGGCAAACCACUCCCACCCCACGUGCGCUGGCUCCCGGUGGGCGCAGAGCUGCUGCGCUCCAGCUCCUCGGCUGGCCUUACCUGCCCGGGCAGGGCGCCUGGAGGGAGGGCAGCUCCUGCGGGUGGGCUCCGGCACCUCGGGGCGGGACGGGGAGAGGCACCUCGAGCUGCGUGGGACAGGGGCUGUCUCCUCUUCUGAGCAUUAUGCACUGGCACCAAGAGCAGAGGGGGGGGUCUCAUUUCAAGUGAGGUCCUUUGUUGCUAUGGUAAUACAAAUUGAAAACCUAUACUAUAGUAAUUUUAGGAAAAUCUCUCUCUUUUUUUUUUUUUUUUCUAAAUUAAAUUGGACUGUGCUUCAGAAUUGUGUGGGCAUACUGAAAUAG
rnacentral:lncRNA from 1 species